UGCAAGUCGAGCGGACAGAUGGGAGCUUGCUCCCUGAUGUUAGCGGCGGACGGGUGAGUAACACGUGGGUAACCUGCCUGUAAGACUGGGAUAACUCCGGGAAACCGGGGCUAAUACCGGAUGGUUGUUUGAACCGCAUGGUUCAGACAUAAAAGGUGGCUUCGGCUACCACUUACAGAUGGACCCGCGGCGCAUUAGCUAGUUGGUGAGGUAACGGCUCACCAAGGCGACGAUGCGUAGCCGACCUGAGAGGGUGAUCGGCCACACUGGGACUG
rnacentral:rRNA from 1 species